rnacentral:rRNA from 1 species
UACAUGGGGUGCAAACGUUGCUCGGAAUUAUUGGGCGUAAAGCGCACGUAGGCGGUUCGUUAAGUCGGAUGUGAAAACCUACAGCUUAACUGUGGGCUUGCAGUCGAUACGGGCAGACUUGAGUUCGGUAGGGGAGACUGGAAUUCCUGGUGUAGCGGUGAAAUGCGCAGAUAUCAGGAGGAACACCGGUGGCGAAGGCGGGUCUCUGGGCCGAUACUGACGCUGAGGAGCGAAAGCGUGGGGAGCGAACAGG